rnacentral:rRNA from 1 species
CGCUGAAAGCAUCUAAGCGGGAAGCCUUCCGGAAGAUGAGUAAUGCACGUUCAUUUGAAUGAGAGACCCCCGGAAGACCACCGGGUUGAUAGGCCGCACGUGUAAGGGCAGAGAUGUCCUCAGCGAAGCGGUACUAACGGUCGAUGA